ACUCCUACGGGAGGCAGCAGUGGGGAAUUUUGCGCAAUGGGGGAAACCCUGACGCAGCAACGCCGCGUGGAGGAUGAAGUCCUUUGGGUUGUAAACUUCUUUCGACCGAGAAG
rnacentral:rRNA from 1 species